UACGGAGGGUGCAAGCGUUGUCCGGAAUCACUGGGCGUAAAGGGCGCGUAGGCGGCCUGGUAAGUAGGGGGUGAAAUCCUGCGGCUUAACCGCAGGGCUGCCUUCUAAACUGUCAGGCUUGAGCACGGUAGAGGCAGAUGGAAUUCCCGGUGUAGCGGUGGAAUGCGUAGAGAUCGGGAAGAACUCAGUGGCGAAGGCGGUCUGCUGGGCCGUUGCUGACGCUGAGGCGCGACAGCGUGGGGGAGCAAACAGG
rnacentral:rRNA from 1 species